CAUUGAUUUUGCAGGAUGAAAGCUGUUAUUAUGGGAUUUCCAACUGCAAGCAAGAACAACCUGGAGACACUUUGACAGUUCAGACCACAAUUAUACCUAUAGCUGCCACUGGUCUUUUCUAUAAUU
rnacentral:snoRNA from 1 species